rnacentral:rRNA from 1 species
AGUACAUAUGUAAAUAAUAUAUUGAAACUGCGAACGGCUCAUUAAAACAGUUAUAAUCUACUUGAUGUUUUUAAUAUAAGGAUAACUACGGAAAAUCUGUAGCUAAUACUUGUGAAAAUACCUUUUGAUAUAUACAUAUGUAUGUAUCAUUAAGGUAUGUAUUUGUUAGAUAUAAGAAUAAAAUAAAUAUAAUUGAAUUAUAACAAAGAAGAAACACAUAAAAUAUGUGUAUUAUCAAUCGAGUAUCUGACCUAUCAGCUUUUGAUGUUAGGGUAUUGACCUAACAUGGCUAUGACGGGUAACGGGGAAUUAGAGUUCGAUUCCGGAGAGGGAGCCUGAGAAAUAGCUACCACAUCUAAGGAAGGCAGCAGGCGCGUAAAUUACCCAAUUCUAAAAAAGAGAGGUAGUGACAAGAAAUAACAAUACAAUAUCGAAAAAUGAUUUUGUAAUUGGAAUGAUAGGAAUUUACAAGGUUCCUAGAGAAACAAUUGGAGGGCAAGUCUGGUGCCAGCAGCCGCGGUAAUUCCAGCUCCAAUAGCAUAUAUUAAAAUUGUUGCAGUUAAAACGUUCGUAGUUGAAUAUUAAAGAAUCCGAUGUUUCAUUUAAACUGGUUUGGGAAAACCAAAUAUAUUAUAUAUUUUGCUUUGUUCAAAAUAAGGUUUUCUAAUAAAUUAUGUUUUUAUCAGAUAUGACAGAAUCUUUUUUAAAAUCUCUUCAAUAUGCUUUUAUUGCUUUUGAGAGGUUUUGUUACUUUGAGUAAAAUUAAGUGUUCAUAACAGACGGGUAGUCAUGAUUGAGUUCAUUGUGUUUGAAUACUACAGCAUGGAAUAACAAAUAUGAAUAAGCUAAUUAUUUUUUUUUUUCAUAAUUUUUUUUGAUAUUCUUAUUAGCUUAGUUACGAUUAAUAGGAGUAGCUUUGGGGGCAUUCGUAUUCAGAUGUCAGAGGUGAAAUUCUAAGAUUUUCUGGAGACGGACUACUGCGAAAGCAUUUGCCUAAUCUAUUUCCAUUAAUCAAGAACGAAAGUUAAGGGAGUGAAGACGAUCAGAUACCGUCGUAAUCUUAACCAUAAACUAUACCGACUAGGUGUUGGAUGAAUAUAAAAAAUAUAUAAAUAUGUAGCAUUUCUUAGGGAAUGUUGAUUUUAUAUUAGAAUUGCUUCCUUCAGUACCUUAUGAGAAAUCAAAGUCUUUGGGUUCUGGGGCGAGUAUUCGCGCAAGCGAGAAAGUUAAAAGAAUUGACGGAAGGGCACCACCAGGCGUGGAGCUUGCGGCUUAAUUUGACUCAACACGGGAAAACUCACUAGUUUAAGACAAGAGUAGGAUUGACAGAUUAAUAGCUCUUUCUUGAUUUCUUGGAUGGUGAUGCAUGGCCGUUUUUAGUUCGUGAAUAUGAUUUGUCUGGUUAAUUCCGAUAACGAACGAGAUCUUAACCUGCUAAUUAGCGGUAAGUACACUAUAUUUUUAUUUGAAAUUGAAUAUAGGUAAUUAUACAUGUUUAUUCAGUGUUCAAAUUAGGAUAUUUUUUUAUUAAAAUAUUCUUUUCCCUGUUCUACUAUAAUAAUUUGUUUUUUUUUACUCUAUUUCUCUCUUCUUUUAAGAAUGUACUUGUUUGAUUAAAUAAAGCUUCUUAGAGGAACAGUGUGUAUCUAACACAAGGAAGUUUAAGGCAACAACAGGUCUGUGAUGUCCUUAGAUAAACUAGGCUGCACGCGUGCUACAAUGAUAUAUAUAACAAGUUGUUAAAAAUGUACUUAUAAAUAAGUGUGUACAGUUUUUCCUGUACUGAAAAGUAUAGGUAAUCUUUAUCAGUAUAUAUCGUAAUUGGGAUAGAUUAUUGCAAUUAUUAAUCUUGAACGAGGAAUGCCUAGUAAGCAUGAUUCAUUAGAUUGUGCUGACUACGUCCCUGCCCUUUGUACACACCGCCCGUCGCUCCUACCGAUUGAAAGAUAUGAUAAAUUGUUUGGAUAUGAAUUAAAAUAAUGAAAUUUUAUAUUUCUGAUUUUUUCUAGAAGAACUGUAAAUCCUAUCUUUUAAAGGAAGGAGAAGUCGUAACAAGGUUUCCGUAGGUGAACCUGCGGAAG